rnacentral:rRNA from 1 species
UACGGAGGGUGCAAGCGUUGUUCGGAUUUAUUGGGCGUAAAGCGCGUGUAGGCGGUUUCUUAAGUCUGAUGUGAAAGCCCUGGGCUCAACCCAGGAAGUGCAUUGGAUACUGGGAGACUUGAAUACGGGAGAGGGUAGUGGAAUUCCUAGUGUAGGAGUGAAAUCCGUAGAUAUUAGGAGGAACACCGGUGGCGAAGGCGGCUACCUGGACCGAUAUUGACGCUGAGACGCGAAAGCGUGGGGAGCAAACGGG